rnacentral:lncRNA from 1 species
CCGCGGGGGCAAGCGGCGGCCGCCACCGCCUCACGGCGGCCCACAGGCCAAAGCAGUGGCUGAAAAGAAAAAUGUGAACGAGCAGGAAUUUAACUUCGAAAAAGUAAGUCACGGGGAUCUAUCAAAUCUCAGCACUUUAUUGUGUGUGUCUGCGUAUCUAUAUGCUUGGGAAAGCUGCGGUGGGACCGAGGAGAAACACUGCCAGAAAAAGUUAGCUUUUCAUGUUACUUUGGCUGUGUGCUGUGCUGGAGGACUGUGUGGACAGCUCUGUACAGAGAGAGACAUGUUACAGCUCAGUGUCCUUUCUUUCUGAUCCCUCACUGAUAAUUUGAUGAGGUGCACUGUAUGUCAGCAGUGUGAAGCUCUGUGAGUACCCAUGAUGUGUAGCAUAUGCUGUUUUAGGCACGUGGUGUUAAAUUUGCAUUUCUGAUCCCAUAUGGAAAAGGAGGUUUAAAAAAAAAAAAGCAGCUUGGCUUCCAUUUUUGAAAUAACAGAUGACUUCAUUCCAUUUAUUUUUUUUGUGCUAUUCUAUAAGUGUAGCAAGCAGUCACCUUCUUAGCUACAGAUUUUUUUGCAGAUUUGUGCGAGUUGUUUUGCAUGCCCAAUCUCUGCCCAGGGUCGUUCUGUGAUCCAGCAAGACCUUCCAGUGGAGAUUCUGUGUGGAGGGCGGUACUGGUGGAAACACUGGGGCUUCAACUACUACCUCUAUAAAGGUUAUGAUUUCCCUGCUGGUUUUGCUAGGGAGUUCUGGUAUAGUGGCAACUCUGUACGUGUAUUUACAUAGUUGAACCACUGCACCAGAUGCCCAUUUGUGUUUCUCACUGGUCAAAAGCUCCGCAGCCAAGGAAUGGGAGCGCUCUGCAAUUGCUGGGUGCUGUGGGUAGCAUGUUUUAUUGUUCAGGUCUGUAUAGCACAACAUAGUCCACUUUUAUACAAAGCAGGUCCUUCCCAUGUGUCCAGUUUUUGUGUGAAAUGAGAAUCAAAUACUGACCCUCUCGUCAGAGAUUGGACCCUCAUUGUCCAGAGAUUAGAUGGACAGCAGUUAAGUGUUCUGCAGUAUAAUUCAAAACUCAGUAUUAUUUUAUAGUAUGCCAAAUUCAGGUUUUAGCUAAGGU